ACGGUGUUCUGGGAGGAGUUACGGAGGCAGGGUUGUGGUUGCUGGCUGUUACCAGGACAACCGGAGGCGAUUGACCGUUAUCUGCGGUUUGGAGCCGUUAGCGGGAGAGGCAGAGAUAUUCAGAGGUCUUUUAGGAUGCGCUAAAGGGUCGUGAGGGCUCUCUUAAAAUUUUCUUCACAAGCGGUUAUCCAGUCGUGCCCCGCGGCCCUGCCGCUGGCCCCGGGGAUCUGAGUCGUACCCUCUUGUUUUUCUCUGAGUCAGUCUUAAGGUGAAAUGAAGUGUGGCCCAGUGGCUCCUCACUGUCGCUUCCCUAGUUUUCUGCCUCCUUUUAGAAAAUUGAAUUGAAAAGACAGGAUGAAGUGGACACAGCAUGUGAAGACAAUUCUUUCAAGAAGUUUGGCUGUCAAGGAAAAUAGAGAAUGUGCUAAAGAACAUGCAGACACAGAGCAGACAGGCCACCUUUGCAACCACAUGGAGGUUUGUCUGAUAUUGAAGCUAAAGAAGCUAAGCUGGAAGACAGAGAGAGCAAGUCCUGAUGACAUUGUUUGAACCCAGAGAUCCAGACAUGCCU
rnacentral:lncRNA from 1 species